UUUUUUUUUCUUUUGUAUGGUUGUUGAAAAACAAAGCUGAGCCUAUUAGUUUGGAAAAUAAAGUCAAGCCUAUGUGUUGAAAAAUAGUUUGAUUAACUAGCAAGUGGCCAUUUGCGCCGGUGAGUUGAGCUGGCUAGCUUGUGUUGAUUCAUGCAUGUUUGGUCAAGGCUAGCUAGUUGCAGCAGUUGGGAAUAGUACAUAAGAGAAGAGACCCUAUAUCAGCGUGUGUAAUCAGGACUGGCAUGUAUACUUGAUACUACUGUAUAGCUUAACUAGCAGUCCCUGCAAACCAACUAACAUUGAAGAGGUCCUCCAUUCAUGUCAUAGUACGUACAUUCCUAGUUCUUUUUCCUUUAGUUUUGGUUCGUAGAUGUAAUUGUAAGUUUUGUAAUCUCGCUUUUGCUUUUCUUAUCAGUAUUUUGUAGUUCUGUAACAUUUAACUUGUAUGCCUAAGGCUGAAGCAGUCACUGACAUGUUAACAUCAUGUCCUGUGUGUUCUUUCUCAAAGAUGUAGAGCAGGGGUUCUUACAGUUUGAUAAAUACAGGCCACAUCAGAUUCUGAAGGCGACUUUGAAAGGGCGUGAGAUGAUGCUCGUCAAGACUAACUGAAAAGGUUAGUCCAUCAUGUCUUACCCAUUUAGUUAUGCGCCAAUUUAGUUCUGGACAACAUGAGCAUGCUGCGGAUAACUUGCUUUGAGACAUGCUCUUUUUAUUUGAGCCUGAUUUCUUAGCUUACCUCAUUGCCUACGUGGUACUGUUGUACUAUAUAUGAUGUAUGCACCUGCUUAUGCCCUAUUUUCCCGGAUGUGGCUCAUAACUGAGAUAUCUAUCUAUUAAAUCCAUCUUAAUUAAGGUGUGAUGGCACAAUUUGGUUGAACUCAUAUAGGAAAAGAUGUUGCUAUAAUCAAUUACAGUAAAAUCAUUUGCACAGAGAAAAAUAUUUCAACAUUAGACAAUAUGAUCUGGCAUGUUUGACCCUCAUCAGGCGUCCUCCUUUCUAGCUUUUGUUUUCCCCUGUACUAGCUUUUCCUCUUUUGGUCCUCAGCUUUCCAGACCUUGAUGCUUUUGAGAAUGUCCAGCAAACUUGGUUUCAUUUUAGUAAUGGAACCAGGGGGCCGCCUCUCUGUUUAUCUAAAAAAGUGGACAAUAUUGAAUUUUUUUGGAAGUGCAUACAGAAAUAAUGGUAGCUUAACAUGAAGAAUGAUUGUGACCUGUCAUACGAAACAUAAGAAGUUGCUUAAUUUGCUAUGCGCAAUAUAACCGAAACUAUAGUUGGUGGAGAUUAGUGUGCUACUGCUAUUUAAUUUGUUUGAAUGAAAAAUUAUAUUUAUAUCUUUCUUUACAUGACAUUCUUAAUCUGUUUUUUGUAUUUAUUGUAUGCCCAAACUAACCAAUAGUGUUAUGCUAGUCUACUGCUUCUGUUGUGUCAUCAGGCUGCAAAAUAUAAGCGCUAGUAUAUAUACUUCAGUGGGGUUGCAGAUGUCUGUUGUACAUUUGUACUUGGUUAUCAUUUUACAACUUCAACAAGCCAAUGAAUCGAUUAUCGACACGACAUAUGUGUCUUUCAGAUAAGGUUUUUUUUGACCUGUAUCACAUGGCCAUCUUGGUGUAACCAUAGUACAUGCGGGUUCUGGACAUAGGAUUGUUACAGUUAAUUAAAAAAUGUCGUGUGCUUCGAAUUAUAUUAAUGUUACAAGUAAUUUGGAAAGCAUGAUGUGUUCUGAACCGUUGCAAACUUAUAAUGAAAUUGACAUUAGUGCAGUUUAUUGGUAUAUUCCUUUUGUACACAUAGCAACGUGUAGUACUCAGUCUAUUAUUUGGAGUUGCGUUCCUACUGAUUCAUGUAACCCUAAAAAUUGCAUGUGAAGGACCAAAAGGUGAGUACGUAGUCAUACUGUUAGAUAUCUAACCAGUCAAUUAGAACAUCUAAGUUCCUUUUUUUGUAUCAUCAAUUAAAUUUCAAUUACAGUAUGUCGUUUUCAUCUCCCUUACAUCUAGUCUAAUCAUUUCUUAGGAAUGGGAGACAGUACUGAAGAAUCGUGAUCUAUGGCAAGGGUGAUGAUGUCUAUGGCGAUGAUUGUUAUGAUCUAUUUGGCGACGAGCAUUAUGAUCCAUAUGGUGAUGAAGGGUGACGAGUCUAGUGAUCUUUCUUCAAGACGUUCAACAAAGUGAAAUCAUGGGGUUUUGGUCAAUCUAGCUUAUGCAUAAUGCUUGGACCAUUAUAUCUUAGUUUUUUUUUGCAUUUUAAACUUUCUAGAUUGUUCAUCAUGAUCAAUGUAAUUCGGAUGCAACUCUUCUGAUAUUUUGAAAGUUGUGCUAUAUACAAUAUAUGUUACUUGGUCAUGUGUGGGCUGUGCAAUUCUGUGAUAUAUUUGAAAUGAAAAACAAUCCUCUAAGGGUGACUAUAUAUAUAGGGUGUUCGUCGGCCUCUCAACUAUAGGAAUAAAUGAAGGGGUGUAUGCACAAUCAGCGAUUAUACUAGCUGACAGUUUGGUUCUCCUCUUAGUUAUAAUGAACCCCGAGGGGCCAAAUAUGCCGUCACCUAUUGCAAAAGCCGAGGGGAAUUGAUAACUGUCAGGAAAUAAAUUCCCGACGGGAAACCGUCAGAUAUGAGCAUCGUCGAGUUUUGGGGAGCUGGCUCGCGACCAAAAUAUGACCGGCGGCUCACCGUCAGCCAAAUACCGUGGAAAAAUGUAUUACCCUACGGUACCGUCGGCUAUUAUUGUAAUGGCCGACCAAGCAUAGCCGACGGGAGAUUGCCGAUGGUGUACCGUCGGUUAUAAAGAAAGAUGACGGUGAAGGAAAAUAUCCGACGGUAAUUUGACCCUCGGUUAUAAUGGGAAAUCUAGUAGUGCAAAUAAACAUCUGGGAGGACCCUUGGAUAUACCUGGUAGUCCCUCAAGGAAAAUGAUGAUGCCUAGGGGUAAUAUUGUGAUCACAAGGGUGUCUGAACUCAUUAAUACAGAGAGUAGACAAUGGGAUGAGCAAUUACUUAAUGACUUAUUUUGGCCCAUUGAUGUAUACAGAAUUCUAAACAUCCCAUUGGCCCUGGGGAUGAUGGAUGAUUUUGUAUCAUGGCACUUUUGUCGAAAUGGUAUUUUUUCUGUAAGGUCGGCAUAUCAUGAAGAAUGGGAUCACCAACACGGAUGAAAGUUGAGAAUGACAAAUUCAGUCCAAGGCUCAAGUACUAGUCCAGUUUGGAAGACCAUUUGGAAGUUAAGUAUGCCAGCCAAGAUAAAAAUCCAUGUUUAGAGAACCUUAUUAGGGGCUAUUCCUUGUCAUGGCGUGCUUGCAAAUAGGCACAUGAGUACUAGUUCACGGUGUCCUUUAUGUAUAUCAGAUUGCGAAAGUGUUAGGCAUGUGUUCUUUCUCUGCCCAAGAGUGCAAGAAGUGUGGCGCAUUUUGGGACUGGACUCUCUCAUCUCUGAAGUUUGCUCAGUUGAUCGUGAGGGAGGAUCAGUCUUGGCUGAUUUGUUUCUUUCCAAGAGCCCUAUAUAGCCGACCAUAUCUGGUGUGAAAAGAACUGAUCUUAUUGCCACUACCGUUUGGUACGUGUGGUGGGAACGACGACGUUUCACGCAUGAGCAUAUAUUGCAGGACCCAGUGAGAUCGGCGCAGACCAUCACUGCGCUUGCAAAGAACUUCGUCAGAGCCAGGGUGAAGCAUGCACGAAUUAGGAGGCAUGGUUGGCUGAGACCACCAAAGAAUAUUGUGAAGUUGAAUAUUGACGCUGGUUUUAAUUAUGACAGUAGUUCUGGAAGUACUGGAGCUAUUCUACGUGAGUAUACAGGUUCUUUUUUAGCGGCAUCAUGCAGUGAUAUCCCUUUUGUAGAAGAUGCGGCGACGGCGGAAGCACGAGGCCUUAGAGACGGACUCAUACUUGCCAAUGACUUGGGUUGCAACAAUCUUCACGUCGAGGCAGACUGCAUGGAGGUGAUUGAUACUAUGCAAAAUGGAGGGAAUUCUCUUGGCCCAGCUGCGGCCAUUUACGAAGAAUGCUCUUUUCUAGCUCGCAAAUUUAAUAUUAUAGAGUUUAAUUACUGUCCUAGGGAGGCCAAUAUGGCGGCAGAUGUGCUAGCCAGGGACUCGGAGAACUCUCGAACUAUUGUGUGGAAGUCAGAGCCUCCGGGAUUUUUAGUUGAUGUUCUCUUAAAUGAUGUAUCCCUAUUUUCACAUGAAAUAUAAACCGCCAUGAUGGCAUUUUCUCAAAAAAAAAAAGAAGAGGGCACCCCUACACCUAUUUGAUCGUCGUAUCGUUUAGGAUAACAGUGCCCUCCGAAAUUCACUCCAAAUCCAAUCAGGAGUGCGCUGGACGUUGACGUGAAGGCCUGUCCUUACUCCGGUGAGGUGCCGGAGUGAUCUACUACGUUGCUGCAGUUCGUCAUCGGACUCCACUUCCUCAACUGAGAUGGCCUCUUCAAACGGAGGUAUAAACACACUACUGUCAACUAAUUUUCGCAUCAAAUCGAGUAGUGUUCAUGUGUAUUAGAUAAGAUCUGAUUAGCAAUUGCAUAAUCCUAGCAAUAUCUCUAACAAACCCAGCUCAACUCUUCAGCAAAAUUGUCGACGAGAUGGAAGAAUGGAAGGCGGCCGGAGCAGGUGGCUUAGAUCGAUUAGCGAGAGUGUGAUUCUUGUUUUAUCGCUGGUGUAGGUGUUGGUGUGUGAUCGACGCUUUGUUCGUACUGCGUUCCGAUAUUCUUGUAAAUGUUUUGCUCUUCUUCUAUAUAGAUAUGGUAUGCCUUUGACAUACUCUCAGAAAAAAAGGACAAUUAAUGACUGUAGAUUGGAAGGUUUUCCGGAACAAAAACAUAUGGUUGUUUUGUGCACCGGGGCACUCGUAUUGUUGUUAGGUGAUCUUAUAAGAACCCAUUAACCACCUUCAAAAAAAUAACAACCCACUAACGAACCACGAAACGGAUUAUGCACGCCAACGAGGUAGCAGCGUGCAAACAACGGAUUUCCAUAGGUCUCGUGGCGCAUUUUGUGACUUGGGCACAUACUGAAUAGUGAAUACAGUCAGCUGAUCCCAUCCACUUGAUUACGGACGGAUGACCACAAACGGAUCAGUUGAAGCGACUCGAGAACGCGCGCGUGGGGACACGUAGGCUUUGAUACAUUGCAUGCAUGCACCUACCAGCACCAGAGACGUCGUAGCAUAAAGACACCAAGUCAUGGCCUGCAGGAUAACAAGAUAAGCAACGGCUUUGCUGUCGAUCGAGACGAAGAAACGAAGAAGAUAAGCAAGAUAGAACUCGCUGCUACCGCCAGCUCAAAAGAGGUGCGUGGGGCCGUGCCGACGCGGAAUUUGUUUAUCAAGGAAAGGAAAGAAGCAAAAUGCAACCAAGUUCGAACACCUUCAACGACCUUCACCCGGCUACUGUUGCAGGGAAAGUAGUGGUGCCAAUCUCCUACCUGGAAAAUUUGUAGAAUUCAUAUGAGAGUUCUGGUUGAUACAACUAGGGCUCGAUUAAAACUCAAAACUUGUAAAAAUGAGUAGCUCAUGACUCAACUCGACUCAAACUACAUAACUAAGAGUUAAACCGGGUUUAAUCUGAGAUCAUUAACUGAAUGAGUUUAACGAGUUGAGCUAACGAGUUAGUAGUAACUCGUUAAGCUCAUUAAUGAGAAGAGACAUGAGAUAAUUAAGUAUCAAUAUUGUUGUUGAUUGUUGUUAUUUAUGAAAUGCACCAACUAUUCGUUUAAUGCAAAUUGUUAAUUGCUGUGAUUCAUGAAAAAAAGUUCAUGUCUACAAGUAUAUAUUACGAGGUUAAAUAUUCUUAAAAAAUAUUAAUUGUAUCGCAAUACACAUACAUUGUUAAACAAGCUAACUGCGAGUUACAUUAGUCGAGCCGUUUUAAAUAUAAGUCAUUAUGUUAGUGAGUCCAUCCAAGUUAACUCGUUAUCUUAACGAUCUCUAACGAGUCGAGUCGAGCAAGUUAUCAGCUUGGUUUUGAUCCUUAGAUGACAUGGUACAAAAGUCAUUUCCGACAUUCUUGGAGAUGGUUAAGCCAUUCUAGCAGAGUCGUUAUAUUUGUGAUCGCCAUUGGCCAUCGUGCUCCAUAUGGAUAUGGAUGCUGCGGUGACUACAUGCAAACAUAGAUUCAUCAAAAAGGCAGCCUACAUAUUUUUCUUACAUGUGUGUUUCACAUGUCAUUGACUACAAUGGUUCUUCCCAAAAAUCCAAUAUUCAGAACACAUUUGUUUCAGACCUCAGUUCAAUUUUAUUCCCCACCUCAACGAUGGAAGUAUUUUAGUAUUAGAUUUCAAUAUCGAUUUCAACUAGGUUUUCAACUAGGAUUUACAAAAUGGAUUUCAAGAAGGAUUUACAAGGAUUCUCUACUAAACUAUGAGCUCUUCCUCCUCAUUGAAGUGACUUCACAGGCAGGGGUGGCUUCAGCUACCGUGACUUCCGUGGCCACGCGGUCGACGAACGCAUGUGUGUCCUGGAUACAGGAUAAGGCCAAAGUCUUGAAUAGUGGUGUUCAUUUCUGCCAGAUGGCAUCGACAUGUGGUAAAAGUACUCAAGGGCGGCGGGUAGGCGAGCACCGCCGUCGACUGAUUCUGCCUUAUGGCGCACUUCGUCCUCGACCCACUCAGAGAAGUCUCACGCCCUCUCCAAGAUCUCUCUCUCUCUCUCUCUCUCUCUCUCUCGGCGCAGUCCCCUUCGGUCUCACCGGGAAAGGUCCACGGGGAGGGCGUGGCCACACCCGAAUGGUGGAAGAGAGAAGAGGGGUAGUGGCCGACGAAGGGAGACGAUGGGAUGAGUGUGCCGACGCCAGGGAUCGGGGAAGAGAGUGAAUAUGGUGGCAUCGACAAAGGGCUCUGAUGGGGGUUUAUACCCACAAAUGGGCGCGUUUCGAUGGGAAACGAGGGAUGGGGAUUUGCCACGUGCGGGUGGGAAACAAGUGUGAAAUGCGGCGACGGUCAUUAAUUGAUGCUCUUCCCAGUGGACAAAUGGGUGCGGCAUCCGCAGGGGUGAAAGCGGCAGUUGUACGUACGGCGACGCCAUUGACGGGGUUGCGCGGGGGACUAAGAGGUUGUGCUAAAACUUCCCUACGCCAUUGACGGGGCUGCGUGGAUGACGACUUUGUCAGAGUCUUAAAAACAGUUCCUACCAAAAUUACCAUAUCGACAAGUUAAGAUAUCAAUCACACCGAUAUACCACUAGAAAAAUCAGGCUGAUAUAACAACAAUGCUAGAAUUGCUAGGGCCAUGGGGCAUGGUGAAUCCCGGCACUUGCCGGUGGGAGGGCUCCGUUUGUAUAUGUUUCUUUGAAUUUUGUUUGGUUUUGUGUGUCUUGCUCAGGAAGGUGAGACGACGGCAGCUUUCUGAAGAUGGAAUAAGGUUCUCCCCGCUCGUCUCGGUGGUGCGUCUAGCAUGGUCGGAUGGUGUGUGGAUGUCUGUCUCUGGCGGAUCUCACAGAAUUCGGUCGGGGAUUGUCUUCGGUGGAUCUGCUCAGAUCCGGUCUUCGGUCAUCUACGUUCAUGCGGCUUCAGGUUGGAUCCUUCCGAUCUAUAUCUCUCUUCAUCAGCGGUGUUUGCUGUUCUGGUGCGCUGGUCCUAUAUGACCUUGACAUGAUGACUUCUCGACUAUCUACUACAACAAGUUAUGUCCGGCACCGACAAGGGAGGGACGGUGACAGUAGCGCGCCUUCGGCUCACUUCAAUUCUUGUAUUUACCGCUAGGUGGUCUAUGGAUUUGACUGUAUCUUUUAUUAUUUCUGAUGUUCAUUCUAAUGCUAUAAUUAAAGAUGAAUACAGAAUGGAAGUAUUUUCGGGAAAAAAUUAGCUCGGCAGACGCCAUCACGCCUUACACGCGGCAGAGCAGCGCGACUACGACUUCCUCGUUCCCAGGAGGUGCCGUGCCAGGCGCGGCUGUACUCCGUCACUGCCUCGCGGGGUCCACUCAGUGCCUGGGCCCACGGGUCAAUUGCCAUCUCCGUCGAUGGUUUUUGUCUCCAUCCAGGAGAAGCAAGUUUGCUGCUCCUAGAGCUUCGGCGCACGCUGGAUCCCCCGUAACAGGAGUCCCGAAACAGGGCACAGUCUUUGUCAAACAUCCGCCAAAUAUCUUUGCCAAACAUUACCGUAUCCUGCUAAUGCAUGUGUUAGCUCGCCAUAAAAAACCAAUGCAUGUGGCCUUCUAUAAGGGUCGGAUACAGCACGGCAGAUCCAACGCUUUGCCAAAUUCUCCACGACCUAUAUAGAAACCUCUUCACGAACACUUUGCCAUUUUAACUCACUGGUAUAGGCGCUGCGCUCUCGUAGCGGGCUGUGUAUAGCUUUGCGAACCAUUGCUCGCCGUGAAGGGUCGAGUUCUUGAACAGCUUUGGCGAUCGCGGGCGUACGUGCGUGCAUGGCUGUGCUGUCGUCUGCGAGGCGCCUCCUCCCGUGGGGCCGCGCCCCGGCCGGCGGGGUCAGCGGCGGCCUCCGAGCUCUACUCGGGACGGUGCGUACCCGCGCGCUUCUCGUGCUUUUACAGUUGAGAUCCCCGUCUACAAAGCAUGGCCGCCGGGCCUGGCGCUUCUACUCUUCUUGUUUCCGUUGCGAGAGAAGAAGAGCAUUUUCCCGUCUACUAAGAUUUAUCCAUGUCCACGAUGCUCUCACAUCCUGCCUCCAUGAGGACGAUGAUGAGGUCGAUCGGAACUCACAGUAGGCGCCUUCUCGGUGUGCAGGACGGAGGCGGCGGCCGCUCUCUUCUCCCGUCCCGGUGGAAGUCGUCGCAGCCGCAGCUGGACCCCGUCGACAGGUGCGUGAGUGGCAUGCAGGCUCAUCGUUCCUUUCCGUGAUUGGUUUCGAUUCGUUUGCAGUUUGAUCGAUCGCCAAUGGCUUUUAACAUUUUGCGCCGUUCGUCACACUCAAACUUAACGCUUGAGCUGUCGCCACCGGGGCAUCCGUGUGCGGUUUGGCUUGGCUGCAGGUCCGACGAGGAGGGCGGCGGCGACAUCGACUGGGACAACCUCGGCUUCGGGCUCACCCCGACCGACUACAUGUACGUCAUGCGGUGCUCGCAGGAGGAGGGCGGCUUCUCCCGCGGCGAGCUCGCCCGCUACGGCAACAUCGAGCUCAGCCCCUCCUCCGGCGUGCUCAACUACGGGCAGGGGCUGUUCGAGGGGCUCAAGGCGUACCGGAGGGCGGACGGGCCCGGGUACAUGCUGUUCCGGCCGGAGGAGAACGCGCGGCGGAUGCAGCACGGCGCCGGGCGCAUGUGCAUGCCGGCCCCGUCCGUCGAGCAGUUCGUGCACGCCGUCAAGCAGACCGUCCUCGCCAACAGGCGCUGGGUACGUACAACGUGGUGACCAUCGGUGUGUCCUUUUAUUCACGUGAGUGCACGCCAUGCUCAUGAGCCCUCCAUGGCUGAUCUCCGCACCGCAACCACCGCUGUCCUACGUUGGUUUCAGGUGCCGCCGCAGGGAAAGGGGGCGCUGUACCUCAGGCCGCUGCUCAUCGGGAGCGGGGCGAUCCUCGGGCUGGCGCCGGCGCCCGAGUAUACCUUCAUGAUCUACGCGGCGCCCGUGGGCACAUAUUUCAAGGAAGGCAUGGCGGCGAUAAACCUGCUGGUCGAGGAGGAGAUCCACCGCGCCAUGCCGGGCGGCACCGGCGGGGUCAAGACCAUCUCCAACUACGCGCCGGUAAACAUCUUUCAGCCGGUAAAUAUCAUCUUCGGGUGAAUUUCCAGAAAAUGUGACUGACCGGCCAGUGUUUUUAUCCCAUCGUCAGGUGCUCAAGGCGCAGAUGGACGCGAGGAGCAAGGGGUUCGCGGACGUGCUGUACCUGGACUCGGUCCACAAGAGGUACGUGGAGGAGGCCUCCUCCUGCAACCUCUUCGUCGUGAAGGGCGGCGCCGUCGCGACGCCGGCGACGGAGGGGACCAUCCUGCCGGGGGUCACGCGUCGGAGCAUCAUCGAGCUCGCCAGAGACAGCGGCUACCAGGUCGAUCGAUCAAUGCACUCCACGUCCACCACGACUGUCCACCACCCAACUGCGCCGAUAACAACGGACUGAAGCUUGUGUUGUGUGUUGUCUUCUUCAGGUCGAAGAGCGCCUCGUCUCCAUCGACGAUCUCGUCAGUGCCGACGAAGUGUUCUGCACGGGAACGGCCGUCGGCGUCACCCCGGUGUCCACCAUCACCUACCAAGGGACAAGGUAAGUCCAUCUCAUGCAAUUCGUCCGUCGAGCCGGGGCAAAAAGAUCCAAGAUGUCUGUUCGAUUCAGUGCUGAGAUGUGUACUGAUUUUUGGGCGUGCGUGCAGGUACGAGUUCAGGACCGGGGAGGACACGUUGUCGAAGAAGCUUUACACGGCUCUGACGUCGAUCCAGAUGGGCCUGGCGGAGGACAAGAAGGGAUGGACGGUCGCGGUUGAUUGAGUAGGAUAACAGCGUGGGCGCAUGCGGCGCCGGAAGCAUUCAUCAGCAUUUCUUAUCAUGUGUCUUGCCAAUGUGAAUAAUAAUAGUGAUGGUGAUGAUAUCUCGGGGAUGUCUCGGCCCGAAGGGUGAUGGUUUCUCUGAUGCUACUGAUUUCUUGGAAAAUAUGGAAAGAGAGAAAUGCACGUGUGUUCCGUAACAACGCAGUUCCCGUGGGUGUUCUUGUUGCUCGAACUAAAAAGGAAGCUUCUCUGUGGGGUGACAUUUUUGUGUAAUAUUAUGCUGAGAGUGAGGCUUGUAAUUCGGCCCCUGGCCUAGACCCUAAAAAGAUUCUUCUUAUUCAACGAAAAUGGUAAGCCUUUUGCCUUGUUUCAAAAAAAAUGAUGAUGAUAUCUCGUGUUAGAAGAUACUCCCUUCGUUUCAAAUUACUCGUCGUAGAAAUGGAUGUAUCUAGAACUAAAAUACAUCUAGAUACAUACAUACCUACGACAAGUAAUUCGGAAUGAAGGGAGUACGUAUCAAGUUCAAAUUUGGGCACAGAAAGAGAGAAGCUAAUGUUGAUCCUGCUUGACACUUGCGUUUUUGCCAAACAGACCGUUUUCAUUAGCAAGUUCAAAUUUGGGCACAGAAAGAAAGAAGCUAAUGUUGAUCCUGCUUGACACUUGCGUAUUUGCCAAACAGACCGUUUUCAUUAGCAAGUUCAAAUUUGGGCACGCAAAGUAGCUACUGUUGGUCCUGAUUGACACCUACCAUUUGCCACAUAGAUCGUUUUCAUGCAUGACAACCUGGCAGUCGCAUCGACGUUACAGUUACAGAGACAUUUCAUGGACAUUCGGGGUACUUCGAUAGUUUGAUACGUUCACGUUGUUGCUCUCUGACAAUUUAUUUACAGAGACCAACAAGUGUGAGGUUUUUCUGGCGGCGCGCGCGGCAGGCCAAACAACAAGCAAACAACGGCACGACUGCAUGCGGCACAUGCCACAUGGUAAUGGUAGGCAGGAAAGAAACGUAUGCCAAAGUGCAAGUAGUCAAUUUUUCUUAGGCUCCAUGUACGCGCUGCCAAUCCAGACCCAACGUGCGUGCUUACUGGAAUUGUCUUCUUUUUGAAUCCUUGAUUGAUUGAAGGAACACAAUAAGAAAACAGCACGGAUCUGUCUUUUUGUUCAGCAGAUCUGAUCUGAUCUGAUCGGGGGACAGGAUGAUGUGUCCGCCAAGUUGUCGCGGUGCAGUGUGUGGUCUCACCCAUCUCCAGCGACAAAUUGAUCAAACGUCCCCGCAUGCUGCUCUGGAAGCUGGAUACGAUCACCCAUUCCUCAUUCUUCACAAUCAUGUUUUGCAUGAUUAUGCAAGUAGUCAUCAUCUCCUACAAUGUUGUCGUAUCUCAUUGUUUAGCAAGUCUGCAAACAACUGCAAAAUCGGGCUUGAGGCACUCCAAAUGCCUCCUCCACAUCUUUCUAGCACCUCCAUGUCUUGCAGCAACGUGGAAUUUUUUGUUACCUCUGGAGAUGAUCUUGACAAAGGUAAUAUAAUUGCAAAGAUAGUACCCGUGUUGUACCUAUGUCCAUUGUUGCAUGCAAGAGCUUCGUCCACACACAACAUUGCAAACAAUAGAGACCACUGCAGCAAGUUGAUGUCAUUGUGAGACCCUAGCAUGCUAAAGAAAGGGUGUCAAAUCCAAUGAUCAUGUGAUGAAACUGUUUCAAGAAUGAUAAUGCGCUUUUUAUGAUGACCCUAGUAUUACCUCUGUUGAGCAUAUGGGCAGUUCUUACAUGUUUAUGCAAUCCAUGGAUUUGAGCAUACCUGAAACUUUCUCGCUUCUUCCACUACCAUGAGCUUUGUUGUGUCUUCGUUAUUUAGUUCUCUCAAGUACUCUCAUCCAAACACCUUGACCACUACAAUAGCAAAUCUGACCAUGGCUUCGAGGAAGUGCUCUCAGAAAUCUGAAGGUACUCAUCCAGGUGGUCUGCGAUUGUUCCAUACCAAGCAUUCUCGUAGCAGUCGUGCACUUCUGGAGAUCAGAAAACCCACUGCAGCCAACGGAAUCCUUCUUGGGCUCAAAGUAAUCAUCAUAAGCUCUGACAUCUUCCAUGAUGCGCGCAAGAACAAUGGUCGAUGCAUCCGAUAUCAAUGUUGAAAAUAGUAGUCGAAUAGCGCAUCGGGAACAAAGUAGUCCUCGUAGAGAUCAACAUGUUUUGGUGCCGACGCCGAUUCAACACUCUAUCUCCAUACGUUGAACCCUUGAAUUUGAGAAGAUGCUCCUCCACAUGCUCUAUUUCGUCAAGAAGCAUCAUUCGUGGCGGUUACCACGGCGGCAGCCUUGACGAAGAGGAGGCUAGGUGGAGCGACGAAUGUCCGGCAAAGGCCUGGGCAACAUCCAGGGGGAUUGAUGCGGCAGAUUGUGAAAAUACACCGGCGUCAGGGUUUUGGGUGGGUCCGGACCAUCAUAGGACGACAUGGUUGGGGUCAAACUUAGGAGAUUGUGGACGUUUUGCACUAGUCCGGCCCAAAAUGGGCAGCCGCGAUGAAGGCCUGAAAAUUUAAGGACAUCUGGUCCAAACAUAAAAUAUAGGGGGCUGCUACAAAUAAGCCGGAUGAUUUCUUCCGCCUAUUUAGCCGUUCGAUCGGUGCACUGGUGGCCAUUGAAUUACAACGACGCCACGGUAGCAGCGAGUCAACGCAGCACCAUUGCAGACUUGCAGUCCCAGCGCAGCUCCAACGCAGCACCACGGAUUGAUUCCUGCGAGCUCCAUUGCGGCCCCAGCAGAGCUCCGACGCAGCACCGACGCGCCGGCGAAGCUCCAUUGCAACUCCGGCCAAGCUCCAAUGCAGCCCCAGCGAAGCUCCAACGCAGCUCUGACGGCUCCGGCGAAGCUGCAUUGCAACCCUGCCUGAGCUCCACCCAGCGCUGACGGCUCCGGCAAAACUCCAUUGCAACUCCGGCGGAGCUCCACUGCAGCCCGCGCGUGGUCCAAGGCAGCGCCGACGGCUCCGGCGAAGCUCUAUUGCAACUCCGACGGAGCUCCAUUGCAGCCCCGCAUGGUCCAAGGCAGCGCCGACGGCUCCGGCGAAGCUCCAUUGCAACUCCGGUCGAGCUCCAUUGCAGCCCUGCCGGAGCUCCACCGCAGCGCCGACGGCUCCGGCGAAGCUCCAUUGCAGCCCGGCCUGGUCCAAGGCAGCGCCGACGGCUCCGGCUCCACGGGUUACAUGUCGCUUGCUGCACUGCAGCUCUCCGCCGAUUCGCGUUGCAGCGUCACUGGUCGACCGCGAGAUCGUGGGGUCGCAGCGCUGCUAUGGUUGGACUGGUCGCGCCUAGAAAAAAGAGAAGAAGCAGGUGGAGCGGUGAUGUCAGCUGGUGGUGCCUGCAGCAGCAGGUUGGGUUGGCUCAUGCAGCGGUAGCUGCCGCGACGACGGGCCAGUGGCCGGUGGCGGCUUGCUUAUCCUGCGUCCGGAGAAAGAGAUGAGGAUUUGCUUCUGCAGAGGUAGGAGAUGAGGGAGCCGAGGGGCACGCGGAGAGGAUAAGGUUGCCAGGUCCACGCCACGCGGGACACGCGUCACUAGGACAAGGCGACUUACGCGUCGCUGUUAUCAGCCGGAUGAAAAUAAACGAUUUCCUAAAAUAUAUGGGGGAGAUUUGGGCGUCAGCGUCGGAGAAGCCCCGUGGAUGGUGCAGUAUAUACACUGUCCUCCAUCUUCUAGCUUCACAUGUCAUCAGAGUUAAUUGACAAGAUGAAAUGAUCUGCUACUCACAUAAAGAAUAGAUUAUUGAGUAGAUAGAGGCAAACAAUGAAAUUUCUCUCUGCUUUACUUAUUGAGGGUUCAGGCCCUUUAUAUAGCAGACAAGACUUGACAAGUCGGUAAUUUAUUCAAACAGUUUUGCUAAAGCACAUCUAGAUGUGCCAUAAGUAUUGCACAUCUAAAUCCUAUGUCAUUGACUUAUGCAGAGAUUUCUGUAGGUAUCUUAUUCAAACUCACAGAGGAUCUCGAAACUGGACUCUUUUCUAAGAGACAUGCUUAAUCAACUGGAACUCUAGAUGAAAUAAGGCAUUUGAUGAGCUGGCCCAUAUAACUGAAGGCAUAUCAUGGUCCAUAACAGCGUUCAGCCUAACAUGGUAUACAGUGGUCUGAUUUGAAACGCACACAGCACAGCUCACGAUCAGUAGACAAGGAACACCGCCUUAGUCCACUAGUUAGAACAGCAGGCGUAGUUCAUCAGUAGUACAACAAAGAUGUACAAUUUAGCUAGGAUGAAUCAACAUGGGCACUGACGCAGCAAUUCAAAACAUUUCAAAAACAGGAUCAGCACCCAACGGAGAUACUAUACACGUUCCAUGAUCCAUUCGGACUACCAACACAGCACAUUUUCAACAACCGGCUAACACUGGCGGGCGACUACCAACACAGGAAAAAUGUCAUCGUGCGAGAGAUUAGCUGCACCUUUGUAGAUCAGAACUCUGCUUCAGGAGGUGCACGGUAAUACGCGGGGACGGUAGCAGGGAAGAACAUUUGCCUCACACCUUCAGCUUUGAUGAUUGGGAAG
rnacentral:lncRNA from 1 species